UUGUUGGUCAGUAUUUCAGCGAUGUUGAGGGUGAGAAACUCCUUACAAUGUGGCUCUUACGUGAUGCUGUGGACACAGAAGGUGACAACUGGGAAGCUACUAUGGUUGGAAAAAAUAUCUUCACAAGAGCCAAGAACACCUGUCAGUGCUGAGCUAAACUAGAUAACUGAUGAGCUUUUCUGGGCGGGGUAUUUCUUGUAAUUAGGCCUGUAUCCUGGUCGGCAUGCAUUUUGAUCAUAUGUGAAAUCGUAAAACAAUGCAUAUAAUACUAUACUAAAAGACAGUGUGUUUGAAUUAGGAGCACAAUCUUUUAUCAUAAAUUAACCUGGAAUUGUUAACUACUAUAUUUGCCAGAGAUAUAACAUAAUAAACAUUUCUUAAUAAUAUUGAUGGAUACAUUAUUAUCAAGUACAUUUCCUCUUGGAGUUUAAUCUUGUAUUACAUGAACAUGGAAUAGGGUGCUUAAAUGGAAAAUGGAAGAACUCUAUUGACAUGAUUUUCUUCAUGAACAAGAACUGAACUGCAUUAAUUGUGUUUUGUUGAAGUUCAUAAACCCUUGGGUGAACAUUAACUUGCAGAACUUCUGAACAUCUGAUAAUGAAAACAUGUUGUUUGUUUAACUUAAUGUUUUAGGAUGCUUAAUUUCAAAAUGUAACUAUUAUAUUUAGUCAUCAUGCCAACAAAGUUUGCCCAUUGGAAUUGAUCAUUU